UGGGGAAUAUUGGACAAUGGGGGGAACCCUGAUCCAGCCAUGCCGCGUGUGUGAAGAAGGCCUUAUGGUUGUAAAGCACUUUAAGCGAGGAGGAGGGUACUGGUAUUAAUACUACCAGGUACUGGACGUUACUCGCAGAAUAAGCACCGGCUAACUCUGUGCCAGCAGCCGCGGUAAUACAGAGGGUGCGAGCGUUAAUCGGAUUUACUGGGCGUAAAGCGUGCGUAGGCGGCUAAUUGAGUCGGAUGUGAAAUCCCCGAGCUCAACUUGGGAAUUGCAUUCGAUACUGGUUAGCUAGAGUGUGGGAGAGGAUGGUAGAAUUCCAGGUGUAGCGGUGAAAUGCGUAGAGAUCUGGAGGAAUACCGAUGGCGAAGGCAGCCAUCUGGCCUAACACUGACGCUGAGGUACGAAAGCAUGGGGAGCAAACAGG
rnacentral:rRNA from 1 species